UAUCCGCAUGUACUUCCUUGAAGGCUGCUUCAUAUUUUCGCUCUCAUUCACUUUCUUGAUCUUUCCAAGUGGGAUGACGACCCUGUAACGUAUUCUGUGAAACUCUCCAGUAGGGAAAGAAACUUUGAUCGAUCUUUCACUGCAGAAGGUAACCUUAUCAGUGGAAAUAAAGAGAAGCCCUGCCAAUGGACCUGCUGAGGUCGACAAAUAGCAUUGACAAACUUUCAAUAGCUUCUCCCCUUCUUUCACACUAAAAUUUCGUCUGAACACUUUCUUCACUCCACCUACUUGUAAGAUUUUUGCUCCUAAGCUCAACUUCCCUUUCAUAGUUUCAGUUAUGGACCUUAUUCUCACUGCAAAAAUUACAGAUAAACAUUAGUAAGGAAAUUGGAUGGAAACAAUGCUAUUUUAUGAAGAAAGAAGAGCAAAAUUAUGCGAAUAAAUAAUUACCAUGCUCUCUGAUGCCUUCUGCUAAAGAAUCUAUUUUUUCACUGAAGCUGUUCAUCCUACUAAAUACUGAAUCAAAUCUACCUGCAGUUUCCAAAAGAUAAUAUCUAUGAGUUUCUACUGACUGUUGCAUGCUAUAUAAUAUGACAAAUCAUCAUCCCUUAAAUGAAUACAAAGAAUCAAGAAUUACCCCAUCUGAAUUUUGGUGAUGCAUGGCAAUGGCUAGUUAGCACUCCUCUUAGAGGCCUCUCAACAGGAAUUGCAGAGCCUGGUGAAUAUGGAAUAAUAUGUUUCCCAGCCUGGUUCUUCAUUGUGACUUGUGAGAAAGUUGUAGAUUAAUCUUCACGUUUUAUCUGGAUCACCAACUCCGGUAAAUAGUAAUACCCUUAAAACUCUGAGGUAAUGACUGGUUUAGUGUAGAUGGAUUCGAAUAAUGUUUAAGCAACCGGUAUUUAUAGAAUAAGGUCGGCAUUUGGAUCUUUACUUUUGGUUGCCUGACUCAUCUUUUCAUCAUUCCAUCAUGAAUAUUGAUAAAGGUGAAUGGAUAAAGUUGAAUAAUAGAAAAUGUAUAUAGAAGAUGGCAUGUCUGCUAGCUGCAAAAGGAGCUUGUUCAGAGGGCCAAGCCUUCUUCAGUGUGGCUAAAGAAAGUAAAAAUGAUCUGGUAGUUAGGGUAGGCAGUAACAUGCUUUGAUUUAGGCUGACUGUGUAUACAUAUUGGAAAAGAAGUUUCUGAGAUGGUCUGCUUGCUUUCUGAUGCAAACCAACUUUUGAUACCACACUAGGAGUAGUUGGAAUCAAAUGAUCAGGGACACAAUUUAUCAAACCACCAAGAUAGCCUAUUCCUUAAAAUCAUCCUAAGGAAUCUGCAACUUUAAUUCUAUGUUUGAAGAGAAGGAUCUAUAACUAAGGGGUUCUUUUUUGUGUGUGCAAAAAUAUAAUUUUUAAAUUUAUUUACUUAAAAUAUUAUAUCUGAAAAGAAUUUAUACUCUUAUAUCUAUGAAAAGUAGUUUCCACGUAAAUAAUCUUUCUGCUAUCGAGAGAAGGUAAGUUUUUGUGUACAUCUCAGUUUUGGAUCCUGCUUCCGAGUGGGACAUACCGGGUAUGUUUGUUAGGUAUUGUAGUGAGUAGUGACUAAUGAGAAAAGUCAAAAUAUCUUAUCCUACUCCGGAGUGGGACAUUCCGGGUAUAUUUCAUUAAGCAUGCUAUAAUAGCAAACCGUCAGCUUAGCCCUCAGAAUAACUACCUGAAGGCCAACGGUUUGGUCUUUCUAAGACACACUCUGCUGGGAAAAUUUUAGGCAGUUUUGCCAAAUCUAAAUUUUUGAACUCUCAAAGAGAAUAGAAGGUGACUAAAUGUUCAGGUAUUGUGAAUUCAUUGAAGAAAUUUUCUGUUAAUGUUGAACUGAAAAGUGUUGCUUGAGCUGGUCAGCCAAAAGAAAUUCCACAGGUUAUGGGAUCAUCAUCUUCUGACAUUCUUAAAUUUUAUUUUCAACUUCUUGAGGUGUAAAGAAGUUGAGAGUAGGCAGCCAUCAUUCUUAAGUGAAUAUCAACCGUGAAACUCUGAAUCUGUGAUUCGUCUUUCUUAAAAUCAAUUGGUCGACUUGGGGCACGAAUCCAUGCAAGCACAUCUAUCUUUGUGUGUGUGUGCAAACUUCUCUGCAACUGAUCAGUGGGGGGUUCAUCCACAUGAAAGUACCAUAUGAUGACUAAACUAUCAGCGUAUCUGAUUAGCAAGUCGGAUAUGGGGAGCUUAAAAUGUGCACAUACCUUGCCCCUCCCGGCUAGAGGAGUACAUAAGACAUUAAGAAUUCAUUACAUCAAAAUACGGAAGACAAUGGAUCAUAGCAACUAAAUCAUGGGGAAACACAUUAUAUAAACAAAUUUUGACAUCUUCAUUUACAAAUUACAAGCAAAUCUUUUCAUCAAGGCAGAUGAAUUCUAAGAAACAAAAUAUGUACACCCUCAUCUAGGUUACUGCACAUUUUGCUGAUUUUUGAUCCGAGUUCAAUUCAUUGUGCAUGAGACAGGGCAUUCUGAAUAGAUAUGAUCGUUCUUUCAUAAUUUAAGAGUCCCAUGAACCAGAAUUCAAAAUCAUCUCUAGUAACUACCCGCAUGUACUUCCUUGAAGGCUGCUUCAGAUUUUCACUCUCAUUCACUUUCUUUAUCUUUCCUAGUGGGAUCACGACCCUGUAAUGUACUCUUUGAAACUCUCCAGUAGGGCAAGAAACUUUGAUUGAUCGUUCGCUGCAGAAGGCAACCUUAUCAGUGGAAAUAAAGAGUAGGCCUGCCAAUGGACCUGCUGAGGUCGACAAAUAGCAUUGACAAACUUUCAAUAGCUUCUCCCCUUCUUUCGCACUAAAAUUUCGUCUGAACACUUUCUUCACUCCACC
rnacentral:lncRNA from 1 species